AGCACCACAAGGGGUGAAGCUUGCGGUUUAAUUGGAGUCAACGCCGGAAAUCUUACCGAGAGCGACAGCAGAAUGAAAGCCAGAUUAAAGGUCUUGCCAGACGAGCUGAGAGGAGGUGCAUGGCCGUCGCCAGUUCGUGCCGUGAGGUGUCCUGUUAAGUCAGGCAACGAUCGAGACCCGUAUCUCCAGUUGCUACCAACCAUGCGUUGGGCACACUGGGGAGACCGCCGCCGAUAAGGCGGAGGAAGGAGCGGGCCACGGCAGGUCAGUAUGCCCCGAAUCUCCCGGGCCACACGCGAGCUGCAAUGGCAGGCACAAUAGGUUCCAACCCCGUAAGGGGGAGGCAAUCUCUAAAGCCUGCCGUAGUUGGGAUCGAGGGUUGUAACUCACCCUCGUGAACAUGGAAUCCCUAGUAAUCGCGCGUCACUAUCGCGCGGUGAAUACGUCCCUGCUCCUUGCACACACCGCCCGUCGUUCCAUCCGAGCGACUCU
rnacentral:rRNA from 1 species